AUGGGCCCAGCACCUGUUUUUUCCCCCAGGUGUAGUCUCCAGCCAAAGAUAAAACACAACUUGAAGGUUUUAUCUAGAAAAAGAUAGUAAUAUAAUAAAAUAUGUAUACACAUAAACACACACACACCUUCUUUAAAAGCGUAAUCCACAUGUCAUAUUUUGAUUCUGUGUGUCCAUGUGUAUACAUAUACGUUGUAUAUGUAUGCUCAUAAACACACAUGUCAUCCACAUGUAAUUUUUUGAUUUUGUGUGUCCAUGAAACCUGUUGAGCAUUGAGUGUAUCUUAUUCUAACUCUGCUUAUAAAUACAUCGAUCAGGCAAGCACCUAGGCAAUAUAUGCUAUUUUUCCAACACUUUAACAUUGAGUGCAAUGAAACAGGUUAACUUAUGUACAUAAAAACAUAAAACCAGAAGUGGGUAUGCUGUUGUAAAGGCACACAAUGAAUCUGUUUAGUUCUACAUGCAUUGUCAUAGACCCAGUGGAACAGUUCCAUCAAGGGUCCAUCAAGAGACGAGUUUUAAAAAUGUAUUCCUAGUUCAGGCCAUAUAGGCUAAUUAGACUUUUUCAUUGACUUUUAUAAUUCAAGGGUAAUCUUAAAAAAAGGGUUUUAUUUGUGUCUCUCAGGGUUUUCAGAAUUAAGGACUAUCACACAGAUUAUAUAUUAUAACUAGGAGUAUGUUUCUAAAAUAUGGGUAGUGAAUUUAUAUUUUCUCAUCACAAGGGCUGGGUCACUUGAACAUAUUGUGUUUCCUAUACAUUUACAAUUGUUGUAUACUUCUAAGGCUGCUUUCUUAUUGUCAGAGAAUCCUGACUUGGCCCUUGCAAGACUAGCCAUCCCUGGUGACCCUGAGACAUUGAGCUAAAAUAUAAAAAAAAAUGCUAAGCAUGUGUAGCAUGUGCUACAGCUUUUGAUGCACUCCACAUAUGUUUGGUCCUGCAUUUUAAUAAAGGUUUCAGUACUUGUAUACCUGUAGAGAAGUGUAGAGACCCAACGAGAUAGACAAGUCUGUCAAAAUGUCUGCCUACUAUCUGUAUCUUAAGGGAAGAAAAUUAAGUAAAUACAUGUCAUUUAUGUAUUAUUUUAACAUAUGUACCUGUUUAUUGUCACAUUUUAAUUUUCUAUGGUACUUUAAAGCCUAUUAGCCAAUUUGAGAGUGUGUACAAUAUAUGCUUAAUUUCCACCAAUUUAAAUGCCCAUUAUACUUACCCAUUAUAUAUAUUUUCUAUAGUCAUGUGUGUAUGGUUAAUUUUAAUUUAUAUGGGGCAAUGGGUGGAUUGGCCCUCCAAAACAUUUGAGAAAAAUAUUCAAUAGUUAUUUUUAAUAAAAAAAUAAUUCUAUAUUUUUAAGAGGUUAUAUCGUAGAAAGAUUAUACAAUUGUGCUAAUUAUUAAAUUAACCAGCCACACAUACAGCAAGAUUUAGGAAACUCUCCGAUGGCACAUAUUGUCAAAAAUUUAUCUCACGAUAAAUGAUUCGAGAAGAUGCUAAAUCUAUCAAAAUGUGAUAAAAUAUAGUAGUAUGUUCACAAAAAUCUAUGUUUUUGGAACGUCACACCUCAAACUGUUCUUUAUUUAUACAGACAGUCCUUUGUUUCCACCUAGACAUCUUUUCUAAACUAGUGUUGCCAUAACUUUGGGAUUAAUGUGGCCUAAAAGAACUUCAAUGUGACACUCAGUGUAUGCUUGUGGGGGAACCAUUCAAUUUGGAAACUGUUUUUAGCAGCCAUUAAUUAUGUUAGAAGAGUAAAACCCAGCACUGGAAUUCUUGAAAUAGCUGUUUCACCUAUGAAAUUAUCUCCAAAGGAAAGGUAGAGCACGUAUGUGGUUACAUUUCGUUUGGUAAAGAAUGGAAGCUGCUAUUGGUUAGGCCAGGGAUAGGCAACCUUGGCACUCCAGAUGUUGUGGACUACAUCCCUCACAAUGCUCUUACAUUCAUAAUGCUGGAAAAGCAUCAUGUGAGGUGUAGUCCAAAAUAUCUGGAGUGGCGAAGGUUGCCUAUGCCUGCAUUAGGCUAUAGAUUUGUGGUUUUGAGAAAUAGUUUUACUGUUAUGGAGAAGAUGAUGCAAAACGUACUGAUGAAGAUAUUGGCAUGGUGGAAUAAUAGGAGACUGAUGUAGAGAGUGGAUUGAGGGGUGAUACGUGGGGGGAGGACUAGUAUGGAUGGAAAAGAGAGAACUCAUAUGGUAGAGUUGAAUGGAACUGGCAAUGGAAUUGACAAGGGACUGGUAUAGAAUUUGGUAAAAAGUGGGUAACAUGAAAGGUGGGAUUGGCAGACAUACAUGAAAGGAUAGACAAUGCAUGCAGAGAAAAAAAUAUAUGAAUUUGGAACUUGGAAGGAGAGGAUUGCUAAAUGGAGAAGGGCAAUGGUAUGGUAGUGGGAGACAGAGGGAGAAUGAAGGAAACUGAAUUUGAAAUUGAAGUUUGGUGGAACAAGAGUGAAUAAACAGUGGAAAGAGAUAUAGAGAGGGAGAGAAACAGGGAUUAUAUAUAUCUAUAUAUGUAUAUGAACAAGGCAUAACGUCAGAAUGGGGGUCUGAUAAAGUAAAUAAGGCAUUAUAUAGAUGAGGACAAAGGGGGAAAUUAAAUGUGAUGAGUUUAAAUGUGAUGAAAGUCAUAUGCCACAUGGAUUAGAAUAUUUGGUGAGUAUGUAUGAAGCUUCACAAAACUUCAAAGCAAUUAAACUUGUAAUAAAGUAUGCAUAAACUAAAGUUAACAUAUACAGCAGUCUUUGUGGGCAAAAUCAACUAAUGAAAUAGCUGUCUACUGUGGACUCAAAUAUUCUUAGCAGAGAUUCACACAUGCUCACAUGCUCCCAACUCCUCACUAAUGUUUCUAAAGCAAUUCAUACAUAUUCAUAUUUCUGGACAUGUCAAAUGUCUAGACACAUAUUGUUUAUAAUUAGAGAUCAGAAACACUGGUCAAUUUAAGCUUUAAAUGCAAACUAUUAACAGAUUUGUAAUUUCCAAACAACAAACACGUUUCGAGCUUCUUUCUAAUGACUAAUGCAGUUUUCUAGUUUAAAUCUGGGUUAAGUCUGGACAUAAAUUUGGUGCAGAGUCUUGGCACAUUCUGUUUAAAUUUGGCUCACAUCAUCAUUAAAAACAAGACAGUAGAUGUAUGUUUACAUCAUUAGCAGAGAGAUAUUUUUAUCACAAAAUCUUUUGCUUCUUAAUAUAUUUCUUUAAAUACCGAGCAGUUCAUUUGUUAACUUUAAAAUCAUUACAAUUUUAUGCAUUUAUUUAUAGCUACACUGUGAAUGUUAAGAGAUAUUUAUUGCUAAAUCAUUAGCAGCAUUAAUUACCCUUACAUCAUUAGCUGAGAAAAUAAAGAAAAACUGUAGUGAGUGCUACAUACCCGGUUUGAAUUAAUUCCUCAUUCAAUAAGUGUAAUCUAUUAUAUUAAAAAUAUUUGAAGAUAUUUAUUUACUGAAAGUUCUAAAGAUUCCGAAUAAAAGUUUUAUAAAUGUAUACAUUUCAUUAUAGUAUCUAUUUUUCCACCGGUCAAGCUCACAGUAUUAAACAUAAAGGUUUUCAUGUUAUAGCAGGGUAUUAUCUACAAUUUCUGCAUGAAAGGCUUUCUAAAAAAAUGUUGCACUUAAAGGGACACUGCAGACACAAUAACCAUUUCAUUUAAUUGAAAUGGUUAUGGUGCCAAUAGUCCCCUGGUACUGUCCCUCCAUUCAGUGUUAACAUUUUUUGAGCAGUCGACUGUGAUUGAGGUUGCUGGCUUCCAAUAGUCCCGGCCCCCACACUGUGAUAGGCUGAAACCAGUCAGCUGACACUCUCUGCCAAUUGCAGUCAUCCAUUGCUGCUCAGGCUAAUGCUUCUUCACUACCCAAAGCAGCAUAGAGGGGAUAGACUGCUGGGGACUCUUAUCUACCAUCAAUGCAUUACAUAUGGUUUAACACUGUAUGGAAGAAUGACACCACAAGAUUCCAGACACUGUAGCCAGUUCAGUGAAACAGUUACGAUGCCUAUAGUGUCCCUUUAAAAAAAACAAAAACAAAUUAUAUAAUCUAAAGUAGGUAUAAUAGGAUGUUCUAGGUAUUGUUGAACUACAAACACCAAUGAUCAAAGAUUAGGCUUUAGGUUGUAAAGAGUCAUGUUCCUUGAAAUGAUACAACAAGUGCAGUAACAUUUUUGCCACCCUAACCUAAAGAGUGUAUAUCAUUACACUGUAUUAUGUUACAAUGGUUUUUUAUUCCGUUAAUUUUAUUCCAACGUUCUACAGUCACACGGUUAACACUAUUCAGAUGAAAACAUUCAUAAAUGCAGCCUUCAUAAAGUACAAAUUCAAAGAUUGUAAUUUUGGACUGCAUGGGAGUUGGGUAAUGUAACACAGGAAUAUUCCAGGAACAUUUUACAGCAAAUCCAAGCAGAACUUAAUCAGUAAAUAAAUAAAAAAAUCACAAAAUUAACUUGCAGCUACUGCUCUCAUCGUGACAAUUUAGAAAAAGAGUCUAGAUCAAAACUGAGCAUUAAAAAAAAAUGCCAAGACAUGAAGUUUUCUCUCUUAUUAAUUCUUUUGCUGUCACAGUGUGUUACAACAGACUGCUUGAUCAUUAAUUGCAGUGCCUUCCAGUAGUAAAUCAGUAAAUCCAAAGGCAUGGUUCCUCCCUGUGUGGUAGAGAUCGCAAGAUAGCUGGUGACAAGUUAAUUAAUUUGUCAAACUCAAAUAGUGUGUUGGAAUUGUGCCUCUUUGUAUUAUAUUCUAGUGAAGAAAUUGCCAUUGUGCUACUGUACUUAAAUGGAGUACUUCCAAUACUGAUAUAGCCCACAAUCUCUUGAAAACCACAGUGGUGAAUGCACAGUCGGUAGUCUUGUCACUGCAAAAAUAAAUGUUAAUUUCGAAGCUUCAAUAGAAAAUGCAAUGCAUGUUUUUUGGACGUUUUCCGAUUCAUCAUGAAAAAAGGCUUGAUGAAUCAUGAAUUUGUGUUUCUUCAGAGUAUCCUGUAACCCAGGGAUGUGAAAUGCUCAUUUUGGCCCUCCAACUCAUUAAGACUCCAUUUCCAAGAAUUGUGGGAAAUGAAGUCCGGUCUUUCUGGACAGCCAAGAUUGGACAGUCCUGGUUUAAACAUUCAAUUACAUAAUCCAUAUUUCAAAAAAAAUAUGCAUAUGUAAAAUAAUAUUUUGUUAUAUAUUAGAUACAUUGUUAGUGUAUUCCUCUAGGCUCUAGGUUUGAAAACACAUGUUCUGACUGCUUUCUGCUUUCUGUUACCCAGUGAAGACUAGAAAAUGUUAAUAAGGUUCCUGGGAAGGCAAAAAUGUUCCUGAAAUCUUUUGAAAAGUAUCCUGUAUGUAAAACUGUAAAGAUCAACAAAUCUUGUUUGCAAGGCUUGACGUGACGAUUUCCCACUGACAAAUUGUUUACAAACUUCAAAACCAUAAAUCUUUAUUGACAAUCAACAUCUCAAGAGAUUCAAUGGAACCAUGUUAGCUCUGCGAUAUUAGUUGUCAAAAAGAAUAAUAUUUUUGAAGUUAAUGGUAAAUUUGUUCAUAUGUUACAUUCACAAAAAUGUUCAACCACAAAAACCUUUACAUGUAUAUUUCUCCAAGCUAGAAUGGACUAUUUUACAUGAAAACAGCAGAUGAUUUAUCUGUAGUAUCCUAUCUAAGGCAUCAAAGACAAUAAGGCCAAUGACGCAAGGGGAAUAAAACACUUUAAUGUGUAACCAAGACAUGUCCUCUGUCCCAGUGCUGCAUAAAUAACUUUGCUUUUCUACCCCUUUCUAGAUGCACAUUUGCUUCUCUCGACUCUCAAAAAAGAAAAAAAACCCACACAACCAGCUUACAUAUAAAACAUUGUUAUUUAUUGAAGAG
rnacentral:lncRNA from 1 species